GACGAACGCUGGCGGCGUGCCUAACACAUGCAAGUCGAGCGGAGGUACAAUGAGAGCAAUCGAGAUGUACUUUAGCGGCGGACGGGUGAGUAACGCGUGAGCAACCUGCCUAUCACAGGGGGAUAACAGUUGGAAACAGCUGCUAAUACCGCAUAAGCCUAAGGGUAAAAGAAGUAAUUCGGGAAUGGAGAGACUCGCGUCCUAUCAGCUAGUAGGUGAGAUAAGAGCUUACCUAGGCGAAGACGGGUAACCGGACUGAGAGGUUGAACGGCCACAUUGGAACUGAGAAACGGUCCAGACUCCUACGGGAGGCAGCAGUGGGGAAUAUUGGGCAAUGGGCGAAAGCCUGACCCAGCGACGCCGCGUGAGGGAAGAAGGUCUUCGGAUUGUAAACCUUUGUUGAAGGGAAGAAGAAAGUGACGGUACCCUUCGAGGAAGCCACGGCUAACUACGUG
rnacentral:rRNA from 1 species